UACGAAGGGGGGCUAGCGUUGCUCGGAAUCACUGGGCGUAAAGCGCACGUAGGCGGAUCUUUAAGUCAGGGGUGAAAUCCUGGAGCUCAACUCCAGAACUGCCUUUGAUACUGGGGAUCUCGAGUCCGGAAGAGGUGAGUGGAACUCCGAGUGUAGAGGUGAAAUUCGUAGAUAUUCGGAAGAACACCAGUGGCGAAGGCGGCUCACUGGUCCGGUACUGACGCUGAGGUGCGAAAAGCGUGGGGAGCAAACAGG
rnacentral:rRNA from 1 species